AGUGAGAGUUCGAGCAUUGGUUCACUUUUUUCCACCUCACUGGUCUUCUCUGACGACACUCAUGUAUUGGUUCGCCUUACAUCGUGUUGCCGAGGUUCGCUUGCGGUGACGUCAUAGAGAGAAACUCGCCCGAGAACUUCUCAUGAGGUUCCUGCGGCCUCUUGCCACUUUGGCUGGACUCAGGCUGGUUCCGCGGCCCGAGCUUCACGGUUUCUUCUGGGUUGGAUUGCAGUUGCUGACUCGUGAGCGGAGAUUGGUGGGUGGGGUCUGCAGCUGCUGCUUCAUGUUUGGCGUUUUCUAGUAGACUGGACUGAGAGCUACUCAGAAGAUUGGACUCACCCGCAAAGGGUCCACUUCCCCAUAUCCUAAUAAUCUUUCUCCUCAACAACCUCUGGAAGGUGGUGAGCUAGAUGGGUGGUUAAACCCUUAUAGGUUGAGAAAAUAAUUGCCUACAAACAGGUAAAUCAUGGAAAAGAAUCUAUUUGCCAAUCUUCACACUUAGGAAGCUCUCUGGAAGGUUCUACAGUGAACAACGAUAUUACAGGGGGAGCAGGUGAACCUGGGACUCAGUCAUAGCUGAUUUCAUUGUUUCUUUGACACUGGGCCUCAUGUCCUCUAGGCUGGCCUCAAAGUCACCGUUUAGCUAGGCAUCACCUUGAACUUCGGAUGCCCCUGUUUUCAUCUUCCCACACCCCAAAUGCUGGGAUCAGGGGUGUGUACCACCAUGCCCAAGUCAUGUGACACUGAAACUCUAACCCAGGGCCUUGUGCAUGUUGGGUGGGUACCCUGCCAACCAACCACGCCCCCAGCCCAAUGGCUCAUUUUUUUUUUAGAUGUAGUGACAGGAGCAUUACAAAGAGGAAAGCCAGAGAAUUCUAGGGCAUAACCUAGAGUCAGUAACACGUUAAAGCCUUAUUGUAAAGAAAUAUUGCAUACGAGUAGCUAUUCACGAGAAACCCAUACGCAAGGCAAAAUAACCUUGGACGGGAAACACAUAAGAAACUAAUUUGCAUAUUGAUCUGCUGAUGAAAAGGUGGCUGAAGGCUCAUGGGUUCAAACCCCAUACCUCCCGGGGAGCAACGGCUCUGGAUGUGCUAAUACUGUAUCCAUGGCAACAUUAUAAACUCUAACUGCCAGAAAUAACAAGAAUCGACUAUAGCUUUUUAAAUUACAAGGUGAUUAUGGGCAAAGACAAUUUGGAACCUGAAAACACUUUUUACAAAAGCAUCUGCCUCCCGGGGUCGCCUCCCAGGGACGCAGAGUCAAGCAGGCACACACACCUGCACUUCUUUGAGGCCACACCAUGUGAAUAUACACUUUUUCACUAUAUGUGACAUAUUUUUUGAGGUUCCUUUGAAAAUGCCACCAUUAGGAGCGAAUAUUCUAAAAUUCGAUUUAUAAAAAUCUCUCUAUAAUAUCCAGUCCUAGGGAUUUUCCUGGUGUGUAUGCCUACUUUCCUGGCACUGGGCAAGGUUUAUAGGUAGAGGUAAAGCACGGUGUUUACUCUGCAAGUGCAGGGAAGCCCACGAAGGAUGAACGAACCUUGCCAAGCCAUGCUCUUAGGGAGGAGUGAGUGCCUGACAGGCCAUGAGUCUGCGGUCUCACGAGCAGGAGUACUCACUCUCAUUCCCCCUAGGCCACCGCGUGGACCAGGCACACUUGUGGUUGGGGCUCAGGUUGUCUCCAGACUGUGAGCUCCCUCCUUGCAACAGCCACCAACAGCCACUUACUGAUCCGUUCUGAGAGAUGGGUGCCUGAGGUAGCAAGCACCAAGUACCAUUGAUUGAGAUAAUCUCAACAAACAGAAUUCGGGUAAACAGAGGCCACAGUAAACUCCACCCCCUGAAGAGGGUAAGCUCUGAGUAAGCUGGGUAGACAAAAGUUUUGUUGGGACAGAUGCUAGAACUCUCUGAAGGUUCCGAGCGCAUAUGGCAGUCAUCUCAGCCACCUCUAAGAAGUGUUUUGAUCCUACAUAUACCUAUUGUAUAAUUAAUUUAUUGGACAGUGUUGGACAAAUGUGACUUGAGAGAGAAAGAGAGAGGGGGGAGGAAGGAGGAGGAGGGAAAGCAGGUAGACAAGAAGGAAGGAAGGAAGAAAGGAAGGAAGGAAAGAAGGAAGGAAGGAAGGAAAGAAGGAAAGAAGGAAGGAAGGCUUCUACACAAGUCAUCUCAUAAUGUCAUCUUUCUCUGUUGGAGGCUGCUAUCAUCCUUGGUCCUAAACAGGCAGGAGAAUUCUGGAUGAGGUCAAGUGAAGCUGGCAUUGCUUCCAAGCCUAUUUUGUGUUGGAAACUUUUUUACUCUGAUUCUAGCUUAGAGCAUCCUGCUCAGCCACUGCCCCUGUAAUAGGGGUGAUUAAGUGAGUCAAUCCCAAGAUGCUGCUUCUCUAGAGAGAUGCUUCUUAUGUUGUGCUUACUGGACCUCUGACUUUCGUCUUGGAUGUGUUUCUUACCCACAUUUUAACCGGCAGCAUGUCUUUAUUAAGAUUCUAUACCCCAGGGGCAGGAGAGAUACUGAGCAGUUAAGAGCACAGACUGAUCUUCCAGAGGAUGUGAGUUUAAUUCCCAGUACUUAUGUCGGCUUCCAGAGGGCACACAUUUGAUGCCCAGCAACCAUGUCUGCUAGCUCACAACUGCCUGUCAUUCCAGCUCCAAAGGAUCUGAUUCUCUGGCCCUCUAUACAAAUCUUCACAUAAACAUACACCUCUACAGAUAAUUAAAUAUAAUGAAAAUGCACCUUUAAAAUCCUAUAGUCCAGCCUUCACCAGACCCUAGGGCUCUCUGCCUUGAGCUGUUAUUAUAUUGUUAUUUUGCCUGUUACACAAUGAUGCUGUGGACCAGAGAAGGUCUUUAAACAUAGCUUCAAUAUGUAGCCCCAUGGUGAGACACUACCCACAUGCACCAGGUUCAUCACAUAGACACAGCCCUACUAGUAGUACAGCUACUUGGGGAUGAGCUUUCCUGACUUUUCUGACAUCCAUACAAAAGGUCCAGAUUCAUACCAGCUGAGAGGACUGUGACAUUUCUAGGAUGUUGUUGCAUGGAUUAGGAUGACCCACCUGACUUAUCGGGAAUUUCCCUUCCAGACAUGUCUGUUUUUACUCUGGACUCAGGCCUUCUGCAAGCUUCAAAGAGGAGCUGCAAUUCCCAACAGUACCAGUACUAGGACAAAUGACCCCAAAUCCAGACUGUCAGCUUUGUAGACGUCCUCAUUUGCAAGGCCCUGGAUCAACGUUCUGCCUCGCUGAGACCAUUAAGGAAAAGUAGGCACCUGGACAGUGAGAAACAGCGUCCUUCCAACACGAGAACCUCGGGUCAUCUCCUUUAUGUUGCUUUGAUCUUCUGCAAGGUUCCACAGGGAUUUUCCUUUAGAGCUCAGAAUCCAGUGAUCAGUGAUCCUUGGGAAGGAUGCCGAGACAAGCAGCAGCACCGUGAUGCUUCAUCAGCACAGAGUACAGCAAAAGCAUUGCCUGGACAUGGCCGCUUUGAAAGCCUGACAAGAAGCUAGCUACAGUCAUGGUCAAGGUCACCGUGACGUAGUCAAUCUCCUGCAUAUGCAUUUCCUAACUCUCAUUACUGGACUCCAUACUUGGCUUUUACCUUUGACCCCGUCCACCCCUGAGUAACACCUGGUGUCCUCAGUUCCUAUAUUGUGAUAACCCCAGCCACCCUCUCCUGUGACAAACAACAAAGGGGAAGGAUGUUUUCUUGACGGCUAAAGCAAGUUAGUUUGUGGUUUAAUUCCUAAUAGUGGUAUGAAGGAUUGUUUUCUCGUGUUCAGCUGAAAUCAUCUGCUGUCUCUCAUAUGAACGGCAGAAUGCUCGAGGGCUGGGGCGAUGGAUGGGAGAAUCUGAACUAAAGCCAAACGCUGUUCUCCAGCCCAAGCCCCGUGCGAGCAGGGCGAGGUCUGGUUAACAUCCCAGUGCACACCCAUUUGUAAUGUGAAGUCAGCGACACCGCACUCCGUGGCCUCUGAUGCCUGCAAUUUAAUAAAGUGAGAACUCAACACAAGGGUUGGGUCCUGAAGCAGUGACAUUCUCUCUCUGUUGGAUCACAUUUCCCAGCGUGCGUGUGAGCGUGGAGAAGAUGGAGACAGGACUCGGGAGGCAGAAGAAUACAAACAUGAAGCCUGAAAUGGAAAAUUAAAGAGGAGAUUAAACUCCGCCGUCUAACCCAGCUACGAAAGGUUCCAAGUAACUGCUCUUGAGCCCUGUCCCCAGUACCUGUCUGUCUGGUCCAAUCCUGGUUCCCCCACCCCCCACCCAUCCUCCAUCCCGGCUUCUGGCCCUGGAUGUUGUCCUUGUGGUGUGUUCUUCCUAAGAUCCAAGCUAGCUGGCUCUGUGUCUCUAGUGAGUCUCUGGGCCCCGCUUCUUGGCUGUUUAACCUCUGGCUCUAGGGACUAUUUCUGACCUAUGUGAUUUGUACCAGUGUCUGGACCAACAGGAGACUUGAGUCUUUUGGUCUCGGGAGCCACCCACAUACCUGCCCAUUUAACGGGACUCACCUGGAUAUCUGGGCCUUCCCUCAGUGCCAUGUGGCCCCAGACCAUCCCUGGCCAUGCUAGCAUAAUCUUUAGCUACUACCUGGUCUUCUGUCAUUUGCUUUGAUUCUCUCUAGGCCUGCCUUUUCGCAGACAGCUCAUUCAAACAGAAUCUAGAACAUUCCUGAGGUACCCCAGUGGUCUUGAUCACUUCAUGGUGACCAGGAAUGCUAAGAGGAUGUGAUAUGAAAUACUGAGGUAUACUGCAGCAGCGGCAGGAGUAAGAGGGUAGCUGGUGGGUCCAUGCCCAAGUGUCUUGAGAAAUCACGCCAUGCAACAGUCCUCACUUUUUGGAUUCAUGAAGAUAUAAAAUAUGAGGCCUACACACAGGAACUUUUCAAUCCAAUUGAGCCCAGGGAUUACUGCUCCUCAGCCCUUCAGUUCUAAAGGCGUGUCCCACCAUCCAUGUAGCCUACAAGAAAAGGGACAGGAUACCUGCCCAUACAGCCUUUCAUUAGGAGCGUGUGCUGGCUAGUCUCAUCAACCUGACACCAGCUAGAAUCGUCUGGCUAGAGAGAACGUCAAUCAUCAAUCAAGAACGUGCCACAUGGGUUUGCAGAUAAGCUAAUCUGGAGGGGCCAUUUCCUCAAUUGUAAAUCCUUCUUCUCAGAUAACACUGGCUCAUGUCACGAUCACAAAAAAUAAAACCCAAUCAGGACAGAACCCCUUCACUAAAUUUGUGCCUCAAAAUAAUUGUCCCCAAUGUAGCAUGACCUUUGUGGGGUCAUGACCACAAAGAUCCUAGAGAGCAGUCUCUUGUCUCUUUCAAACUCCAUCAACACCUGACCUUUCCCAACCUUUCUGAGCUCUUUCACCCUUCCUGCCCCAAGAUGACAAUGGAGAGAUGCGUCCCAUGAUGCAACAGUCUGUGUGCCUUGACCUUGGACUUCUAGCAAGUGUCUGUAAGAAAUAAACACUUCUUGUUCCCAAGCCA